rnacentral:rRNA from 1 species
UACGGAGGGGGCUAGCGUUGUUCGGAAUUACUGGGCGUAAAGUGUGCGCAGGUGGCCGCGCAAGUCGAGUGUGAAAUCCCCGAGCUUAACUUGGGAAUUGCGCUCGAAACUACGUGGCUCGAGUGUGGCAGAGGAAGGUGGAAUUCCACGUGUAGCGGUGAAAUGCGUAGAGAUGUGGAGGAACACCGAUGGCGAAGGCAGCCUUCUGGGCCAACACUGACGCUCAUGCACGAAAGCGUGGGGAGCAAACAGG